AAAUAAGAAGCGAACUUAUGGCACCCAGUUUCGACCUGGCUUUUGGUGAAAUCACCCUUAUUUA
rnacentral:tRNA from 1 species